rnacentral:snoRNA from 1 species
GCAUGAUAAUGGAUUGAUGGCAGGCCCUUCUCUGUGGGGCUCUCAUAGUAUACCUGUGCUAGAGGAGCAUGCAGCCCCAAACCAUUGCCCAGCUUCCUCACUGGGGUGCUGUGAGCACUGAGGGGGCUGUAUUAUG